UACUGUGAAUGCCUCAAUUGUGCCGACAGGCAUUCCAGUAAUUCCAGUGUACUUCUCCACUCCUUAUUCUUCUGAUCCACUGACAUGUAAUCGGAGUGACAGAAUUCCAAUUCUAGAUAUACACACGCAUGGCACACACCAGCAAUGACUGGCUCGGAAACCAUUUGGAGAAGCAACCAUUAAGCCAGAUACAAGCAUCAGCUGCUUCUAGUCAGCCUACCCCAGAGCAGCCCAGGAAUCGGAGGCGAGGCAUGCAAACCUGCACACCAGUGUCCAGAGCAGAGGAUGGAUGGCAGCUGCAGUGAUGGCCUUUCUCAGUUUCGUGAGGACAUGAAAACUGACACUCAGUUUGUGCCCUGUCAGUGUGCUCGAACAUAAGCUAUCUUGUCCAAAGCGUAAAGAAGACAGAAGAAUGGAGUCUCCUAAGGACCAGCUUCAGCUCUUAUGUCAGAAGCGGUGCUGUAUGUAAUGAUCUCCAGAAUGA